rnacentral:rRNA from 1 species
GAUGAACGCUGGCGGCGUGCCUAAUACAUGCAAGUCGAGCGAACAGACGAGGAGCUUGCUCCUCUGACGUUAGCGGCGGACGGGUGAGUAACACGUGGAUAACCUACCUAUAAGACUGGGAUAACUUCGGGAAACCGGAGCUAAUACCGGAUAAUAUAUUGAACCGCAUGGUUCAAUAGUGAAAGACGGUUUUGCUGUCACUUAUAGAUGGAUCCGCGCCGCAUUAGCUAGUUGGUAAGGUAACGGCUUACCAAGGCAACGAUGCGUAGCCGACCUAAGAGGGUGAUCGGCCACCCUGGACCUGAGACACGGUCCAGACUCCUACGGGAGGCAGCAGUAGGGAAUCUUCCGCAAUGGGCGAAAGCCUGACGGAGCAACGCCGCGUGAGUGAUGAAGGUCUUCGGAUCGUAAACCUCUGUUAUUAGGGAAGAACAAAUGUGUAAGUAACUAUGCACGUCUGGACGGUACCUAAUCAGAAAGCCACGGCUAACUACGU